rnacentral:rRNA from 1 species
GAUAAGUAGGAUCGAGGCUUUGCCUGCUAUCUCUUACCCAUGUCUUUAAAGUACCUUACGUUUCCUCGGCGGGUCCGCCCGCCGAUUGGACAAUUUAAACCAUUUGCAGUUGCAAUCAGCGUCUGAAAAAACUUAAUAGUUACAACUUUCAACAACGGAUCUCUUGGUUCUGGCAUCGAUGAAGAACGCAGCGAAAUGCGAUAAGUAGUGUGAAUUGCAGAAUUCAGUGAAUCAUCGAAUCUUUGAACGCACAUUGCGCCCCUUGGUAUUCCAUGGGGCAUGCCUGUUCGAGCGUCAUUUGUACCUUCAAGCUCUGCUUGGUGUUGGGUGUUUGUCUCGCCUCUGCGUGUAGACUCGCCUCAAAACAAUUGGCAGCCGGCGUAUUGAUUUCGGAGCGCAGUACAUCUCGCGCUUUGCACUCAUAACGACGACGUCCAAAAGUACAUUUUUACACUCUUGACCUCGGAUCAGGUAGGGAUACCCGCUGAACUUAAG